AUGGAUCCGAGCGGGCAACCGCCCCAGCGCGCCUCCCGGCGGCGCAUCCGGGCCAACAACUACUCACAUCCUUCCCCACGACUGGUUGCCUCCACUACCCUCCCUUGCAGCUUAGGGUCCGGCGAGUCCCAGCCGCCACGCUCCCUCUGUCCUCUCCUCCGCGUCAAGAUCGACAGUGAGGUCACCGGUGCCUGCUCUCUGCUGACCUCCCCUUCCUCAUCUUCCUGCGAGGUUCCCAACCGCCCUGCCACGGAUGCGUGUGUUGUUGUUUAUGAUGUAGGUGUUCAGCAUGUAGAAGCUGGACGACGUGAUGCUGCUGUUGCCGAUCUGCUGCAGCGCCUCUUGUUUGACCCUGAGAUCACUGGCGAUGAACACAAUCAGAUGAGGACGUGCGUGCGUGUGGCGUGUGUGCUGCUCCUCGCCAUCGUUGUCGUGCGUGUGAAUCGUGCCAACUAUGUGCCAGUUGAGUCCGGCUGCCAUGUCCAGCGCGACCUGGACGUGCUUGCUCCAUCCGAGCACCUCAUCGCUGUGGAGCCACUUGCUAAGCGCGCUGUUUUUGGUGAACUCGAACAUCACAAGUUGGGUCUCGAUGACCUAUAA
rnacentral:rRNA from 1 species